AUUGGAAGCGGAUUGUGUACGAUCCUUAUAUGGAAACGGGCUCAAGGGACAGCACUCUCAUCAAGACCCUGACUGGGAUGUUUUUGUAAACAAACGCCGUAAAGUUGAAGUAACUCGAUCAGGUAAGUUUGCUGUUUUAGUUUAUUCUAACCACAGUAGUAUUUAAGAAAUGUAUUUUAGCAGGGGUAGGGUGAUAUUUGUACAUAGUUUCACUUGAUAAUCAUGAAUAUCCGGGAUGUUGUCUCGCUCACAUGUUCACUUCCUGCAUGGUUAUGUCGAUACUCCUGAUCAGCUGAUCGGUGCAGUAUGCAGCAAACUCCUGUUGAUGGAGUAAGUUGUGUUACGUAAUGUUUUAGUUUUACAGCCAUUCCCGUCUGGAAUUAACACAAACCAUCUCAUUUCGGUAUUUAAUAAACUUUAUAAUAACACAGGAAAACACACCAUGCUUCACAGUAUGAGGUCCUACAAUGAUAUGGAAGAGUAUAAAUGCGACAAAACCCUUUCCAUAUUCAUAUGAAAUCUCUGUUAAAAAACAGUUGAUGGUACGAUUCUGACUAAAUCAUGAGCACGUGUUAAUGAAUCACUAUCAAAUAGUGAUAAUACCAGGUGUUCGCGAAAGGUGAGAGUAUCCUGCCCCAACGGUGUCACAAGAAAUCCCUGGUGUUGAGAUCCAUUUUCAUUGUGUGCAAAUUGUGUUUAUUUUCAUGCAGAGUUACAAGUCAUAAAAUAUUAGAGUGUCUUGUGAGGUACAGUGCUUCAGACAACAAGAGAGCUGUACUUUUGAAAUGGUCAACCAGUGCACUAACAAGUUGCCACUGAGCAUUUAGCAUGUUUAGCCAGUGCUUGUGAUAUUUUCUUCAGUCUUUUCCCCAGCCUUCGCCCUUGCCCAAUACUACCUGAUCCAGCAUCAGCCAUCCUGUAUUACAGAAACUUAUCAAAUGAAACAGCAAAGGCUGAUUGUUGUCAGAGACCAUAAAACAAGAUUUCAAUAAAAAAAGUUUAUUUUAAUGAGCAUAGAGAAAAACAUUACAUACAUCAGAUGGAAAUCUUUCAUGAAUCACCUCGACAACACAAGAUGGAAUAACUUUUCUCUGAUUCUUCAACUAUUUCUGCAAAUCCCCAAAGUGAACCUCUUGUUUAUGAGGUGUAGAGAGAUUCUGAAAUGAAUAAGUGUCUUUUAUUAGUAAAGCUAUGCACAACAUUACAAAAAAAUAUCAUACCAUUUACAUAUAUAUUUUUGUCAUUAAAUCUGGAGGGAUGCUUAUAUAAGAAGUAACUUGUAUUGAUGAUAAAUGCAUAAUUUUUAUUACAUGUUAAUAAUUCAAUAAAUACCAAAACAGUUUAUAGUUCUAUCAUGUUGACAUGAUGUGUUUAUUACUGUAGGUUUGAAUACUUCUUGAAAUAUUGUGGGCAUGUUUCAAUAUCACUGAUGUAAUUUAAUAACCUUACAAGUUACAUAUGCUUUCACAACUUGCUGGCAAAUAAACAUUUAUGGUACUCGAA